rnacentral:rRNA from 1 species
CCUACGGGUGGCAGCAGUAGGGAAUCUUCCGCAAUGGACGAAAGUCUGACGGAGCAACGCCGCGUGAGUGAUGAAGGCUUUCGGGUCGUAAAACUCUGUUGUUAGGGAAGAACAAGUGCUAGUUGAAUAAGCUGGCACCUUGACAGUACCUAACCAGAAAGCCACGGCUAACUACGUGCCAGCAGCCGCGGUAAUACGUAGGUGGCAAGCGUUAUCCGGAAUUAUUGGGCGUAAAGCGCGCGCAGGUGGUUUCUUAAGUCUGAUGUGAAAGCCCACGGCUCAACCGUGGAGGGUCAUUGGAAACUGGGAGACUUGAGUGCAGAAGAGGAAAGUGGAAUUCCAUGUGUAGCGGUGAAAUGCGUAGAGAUAUGGAGGAACACCAGUGGCGAAGGCGACUUUCUGGUCUGUAACUGACACUGAGGCGCGAAAGCGUGGGGAGCAAACAGGAUUAGAUACCCUCGUAGUC